rnacentral:rRNA from 1 species
CACGUAGGGUGCGAGCGUUUGUCCGGAAUUAUUGGGCGUAAAGAGCUCGUAGGCGGUGUGUCGCGUCGGCCGUGAAAACCUGCAGCUUAACUGUGGGCUUGCGGUCGAUACGGGCAUCACUGGAGUUCGGCAGGGGAGACUGGAAUUCCUGGUGUAGCGGUGAAAUGCGCAGAUAUCAGGAGGAACACCGGUGGCGAAGGCGGGUCUCUGGGCCGAAUGACUGACGUGAGGAGCGAAAGCGUGGGGAGC